AGGGUCCUGCCAGCCCCCAGGGUGCCUACCGCAGUGCCUGACGGGCCGCGCCGCGGGCCCAGCGCGCAUGCCCGGAGAGGAAGCCCACGCCUCCGCGCGCCGGGCUUGUGACCUGCUUCGAGGUUCAGUAACUUGGCCAAAGUCACGGGGCUAAUAACAGGACUGGACCUGAACGUCGAUUCCAGCGCUUCCUCCCAUCUCACCGAGCUGCCCUUCCACGAGCCCUCGUAGGUCAAGCCACCCACUCUCCCAUGGCUUUUGAGCAGGGACCUGCUGCUUCUACCGGGAAUAUCCACCAUCGCUACCGACUCCUGCCACCUUCUCCACGCCAAGCCCCACUCCCUGAAAACAUAAGCUCCAGAACCCUUUCUUAAUUCCUUUCUGUCUGCGUUAAGAACUCUGCAGUGUGCUGCAUUUAUUUCAAUACAGUCGUCGUGCUGUACUUAUUGCAGGACCAACAAAUAGUAUGUGCUCAAUAAAUGUACAGGCACCUUAA